rnacentral:tRNA from 1 species
GGAGGGAUGGGUGAGUGGCUGAAACCACCAGUUUGCUAAACUGACGUACUCUUAACGGGGUACCGCGGGUUCGAAUCCCGCUCUCUCCGCCA